rnacentral:rRNA from 1 species
AGCCCACCAAGCCGAUGACGGGUAGCUGGUCUGAGAGGACGAUCAGCCACAAUGGAACUGAGAUACGGUCCAUACUCCUACGGGAGGCAGCAGUGAGGAAUAUUGCGCAAUGGAGGAAACUCUGACGCAGCGACGCCGCGUGGGUGAUGAAGGCCUUCGGGUCGUAAAACCCUUUUGGCAGGGACGAGUGAGGACGGUACCUGUUGAAUAAGUCUCGGCUAACUACGUGCCAGCAGCCGCGGUAAAACGUAGGAGGCGAGCGUUAUCCGGAUUCACUGGGCGUAAAGCGUGCGUAGGCGGUUGAGUAAGUCGGAUGUGAAAGCCCUUGGCUCAACUGAGGGAGGUCAUUCGAUACUGCUCGGCUUGAGGAUGAGAGAGGAGAGCGGAAUUCCCGGUGUAGCGGUGGAAUGCGUAGAGAUCGGGAGGAACACCAGCGGCGAAAGCGGCUCUCUGGCUCAUAUCUGACGCUGAGUGCACGACAGCGUGGGGAGCAAACGGGAUUAGAUACCCUGGUA